CAACCAUCUGUGUGUCUCCACCUGUGCAAAAUCCAAUCGGUGUCUCUUCUCUUUUGCAAAUUCCGAUUUGUGUCUCUUCUCUUGUGCAAACCUCAUUUGUGUCUCUCCACCUGUCCAAACCCAUAUCUGUUUCCCUACACCUAUCCAAACCCCCAUCUGUGUCUCUUUACCUGUCCAAAAUACCAUCUGUGUCUCUCCAACUGUGCAAACAUAAUCUGUGUUUUUCCUUCUAUUCAAACACCUCCAGUCCACCAUCUAUAUCUCUCUUCCUAUGCAAUCCCCCAUCUGUGUCUCUCCUUUUGUCCAAACCUCC